rnacentral:rRNA from 1 species
AACGAACGCUGGCGGCAGGCUUAACACAUGCAAGUCGAACGCAUCGCAAGAUGAGUGGCAGACGGGUGAGUAACGCGUGGGAACAUACCCUUUUCUACGGAAUAGCUCUGGGAAACUGGAAUUAAUACCGUAUACGCCCUACGGGGGAAAGAUUUAUCGGGGAAGGAUUGGCCCGCGUUGGAUUAGCUAGUUGGUGGGGUAAAGGCCUACCAAGGCGACGAUCCAUAGCUGGUCUGAGAGGAUGAUCAGCCACAUUGGGACUGAGAAACGGCCCAAACUCCUACGGGAGGCAUGAGUGGGGAAUAUUGGACAAUGGGCGCAAGCCUGAUCCAGCCAUGCCUCGUGAGUGAUGAAGGCCUUAGGGUUGUAAAGCUCUUUCACCGAUGAAGAUAAUGACGGUAGUCGGAGAAGAAGCCCCGGCUAACUUCGUGCCAGCCGCCGCGGUAA